GGUGGACGGGAAGGGGGCGUGGCCCGAGCCGCCGGGAUAGGCAGCGGGGAACAGGCGCGCUUCCCGAGGGCUCGACUCCCUUCCUCUUCCCCGACGGGGCGGCCGGAGAGCGCAUGGAGCAGUCCGGCAGAGGUGAGCUGAGGCACCCGGAGGAGAGCUGGGGGAACGCUGCCCGCCUCCUCUGGCUCUCUCUCGCCUGCCUUUCCUUCCUUCCUGCAGGUCCCAUGAAGGGCCUGGCAGAGGCGAGAGAGGUCGCUUGACCGCCGCCGGCCCCAGGAAGAGGAGCCGGGCCACCUUCACCCGGGCCAGCUGAGCGUCUUCGCCGCCUUGCCUGACCCGGACAUCAGCGCCCGGGAGCGCCUGGAGAGCUCACGCAGCUGCCGGAAGCCAAGACCCAGACAGGGGACAGAAUCUCAAAACGGUGAGGAACAGGAUGCGGCCUUUCAGGGCCGGCUGCUGGGCUUUGCACAACAUCAGCCAAAAGGUGAGCCCCUCCAUGCUUGAGAGGGCGCUGAGGGGCCAAAGGUGACCACUACCAGCCCCUCCCUCUGGCCCUGCCAGCGGAGGUGUGGGGGGGCCCACACUGCGAGGAGAGCAACAUCCCAGCCUGCAGGUGUGAUGGAAACGCAAGCAGGAUCUUCCACUGCCGGCGUGAAGCUGCUUUCUUCCAUCUCUGAGUCCAGAGCCUUUCUGGCUGUGAUGGCUGCAGGAAAACCCCACACUGCGGAACCCCUCAGAGCCUCUGCAUGCCAGAGGAAGGAAAGUGUCUCUGGGGAAAGGCUCUUCGCAGAGUAGGGGACGCAGAGCAGCAAAGGAGUCUGUGUGCAGCUGCUGGAGGAAAAGGUGCAGAGCGCGUGCCCCCUUUGCCCUUGGUGGUUCAUACUGGUAUUUGUGGGUAGCUCUGGUCUCUGACCCCACCUCCGUGGGCCUUGUAGGAGCAGCGAGGACAGAGAGCCCAGCCAGGAAAAGCUACAUCUCUCCCAGUUCCCCUUCCAGAGUCCGCACCAUCACGUAGAGCUCUGCCAAACCCACCACUGACGCCAUGAUCACAGCGGACAGCACGCGCUGAAAGGAAGGGAACAGUGAGCCAGGCCUGUCUCCAUCACGUCUGCCAAGAACAGCUUCCCACCACCCCUGGGGAAAAAAGGAAGUAUGCAGAGUUGUCCUUGAGUCUUCCCCCUGCAGCACCCCCCCCCCCAGCCCAGUCGCCACUCACCGCUGCCGUUUCCGUGAAGACGUACUGGCUGCCCAGGAUUCAGACUCAGUUUAUUGGCCCUCAUCCAGCCCACCAUGGAGUCCAGGCAGCAGUCCAGGACUUGCACGGCCUCUCCCAAUUCAGAUGUUACAGAGAAAUAGAGCUGGGCAUCGUCAGCAUACUUUUAUGCAUCAGAAGCCACUGAGUUGUCUAACACCUUGGUUUUUUUUAAAAAGAAAUAAAACAAGUGGUCAAUACAAACCCUGGGAGGUUUUUUCUCUUCAGGAAGGAAGAUCUCACUGCCUUCCAGCAGUUCAUGAAGAUAAACUCGAGAACCUAGGAGUUUACAAAAAAAAAAGUGCCCAAUAGGAAUUCUGGUCCAAAGGAAGCA